GACGAACGCUGGCGGCAGGCCUAACACAUGCAAGUCGAACGGGAUCUUCGGAUCUAGUGGCGGACGGGUGAGUAACGCGUGGGAACGUGCCCUUUGGUUCGGAAUAGCCCUGGGAAACUGGGAGUAAUACCGGAUGUGGUCGAGAGACGAAAGAUUUAUCGCCAAAGGAUCGGCCCGCGUUGGAUUAGGUAGUUGGUGGGGUAAUGGCCUACCAAGCCGACGAUCCAUAGCUGGUUUGAGAGGAUGAUCAGCCACACUGGGACUGAGACACGGCCCAGACUCCUACGGGAGGCAGCAGUGGGGAAUCUUAGACAAUGGGGGAAACCCUGAUCUAGCCAUGCCGCGUGAGCGAUGAAGGCCUUAGGGUUGUAAAGCUCUUUCGUGGGGGAAGAUAAUGACUGUACCCCAAGAAGAAGCCCCGGCUAACUCCGUGCCAGCCGCCGCAGUAAUAC
rnacentral:rRNA from 1 species